rnacentral:lncRNA from 1 species
UGCACCAUAUACACCAUUUUUUUAUGUGUACUUUAGCCGCUCCCUUCGUUGACCCAACAAACACUUGCUAAGAUCCCACACCAACAUUCCAAACAAUUUGCCAAAACUGGGAAGCAUGCCAUUUUAUUACAGGAAAGAAUAGGUACAAAAUGAGUAAUUUUAUCAGAAAAAUGAGCAUUUGUAACAAAAUUACAAAAUCACCCCGGGGUAAUCAAAAGAAGUAAAAGCUGGUCCUUCCCCACUUUCUAUAAAUGCUCUCUAUACAAGAAGAAAUAAACCUUCAUCCCUACUCCCAAUUACAAAAACAGAAAGAAGUAAAAAGUUGUACUAACAAUCAACAACAAAAGAAGAAGAAAAUUAAUCUAGAGAAGAAAAAAAACUAGAGUAUCUACCUGGGGCAUUCAAAAUCCCCAGCUUCCGAAAAGCAGGACGAUCUCAGCAUA